rnacentral:miRNA from 1 species
ACUUUCGUUAGGACAAAUGGUCAUGCCGUCAAUUUUGUUAACUUUUUCUGUUAAAUGUAAGGGCAAAAUUAAUGGCAUGACCAGUUGUCCUAACGAAAGU